rnacentral:rRNA from 1 species
AGAGUUUGAUCAUGGCUCAGGACGAACGCUGGCGGCGUGCUUAACACAUGCAAGUCGAGCGAGGUCCAUCCAAUCGCAAGAUUGGGGAAGACCUAGCGGCGAACGGGUGAGUAACACGUGAGCAACCUGCCCCGAAGACUGGGAUAACACCGGGAAACCGGUGCUAAAACCGGAUGUCCUCCUCUGGUCGCAUGGCCUAAGGAGGAAAUACUGCAUCUAAAAAGUGCAGCUUGCUUCGGGAGGGGCUCGCGGGCUAUCAGCUUGUUGGUGAGGUAACGGCUCACCAAGGCGACGACGGCUAGCUGGUCUGAGAGGACGACCAGCCACACUGGGACUGAGACACGGCCCAGACUCCUACGGGAGGCAGCAGUGGGGAAUCUUGCGCAAUGGGCGAAAGCCUGACGCAGCAACGCCGCGUGGGGGAUGAAUGCCUUCGGGUUGUAAACCCCUUUCAGCAGGGACGAAAAUGACGGUACCUGCAGAAGAAGCCCCGGCCAACUACGUGCCAGCAGCCGCGGUAAUACGUAGGGGGCGAGCGUUGUCCGGAUUUAUUGGGCGUAAAGAGCUCGUAGGCGGCUUGGCAAGUCGGGUGUGAAACCUCCAGGCUCAACCUGGAGACGCCACUCGAGACUGCUAUGGCUAGGGUCCGGUAGGGGACCACGGAAUUCCUGGUGUAGCGGUGAAAUGCGCAGAUAUCAGGAGGAACACCGGUGGCGAAGGCGGUGGUCUGGGCCGGCACUGACGCUGAGGAGCGAAAGCGUGGGUAGCAAACAGGAUUAGAUACCCUGGUAGUCCACGCCGUAAACGUUGGGCACUAGGUGUGGGGCCUUAUCAACGGGUUCCGUGCCGUAGCUAACGCAUUAAGUGCCCCGCCUGGGGAGUACGGCCGCAAGGCUAAAACUCAAAGGAAUUGACGGGGGCUCGCACAAGCGGCGGAGCAUGUUGCUUAAUUCGAUGCAACGCGAAGAACCUUACCUGGGUUGAACUACGCAGGAAAAGCCACAGAGAUGUGGUGUCCGAAAGGGCCUGCGAUAGGUGGUGCAUGGCUGUCGUCAGCUCGGUCGGAGA